UUUAAUCAGCAUUGGCGAUAUCCUAACCAAUGAGUUUUUACCGAGGUGCGAUUAUUGCUAGUUGAAAAAAAAUAGUUCAAUCAGAGAAAAGAUCCUGUAACGAUUUUUUCAAUUUUCACAAAUAUCCGGUAAUGGUUAUCUUGAUA